rnacentral:tmRNA from 1 species
GGGGACGUUACGGAUUCGACAGGGAUGGUUCAAGCUUGAGCUGCGCGUCGGAGGUCUCGGCUCCGUCAUCAACGGAAGUUAUAUAAUAACUGGCAAACAACAAAAUUUAGCUUUCGCAGCGUAAGCUCGUAAGCGCUCUGCCUCUCUAUCGCCCAUGUAGAGAACGUGGGGCUUAAACUUAGUGGGAUACGGUCGGUGGUGCCGCUUGAGUCACCGGCAAGAGAUUUCCAAGCUAGUGCACAGGACGCCUGUUUGUCGGCAUAAUGUUGCACGAAUUGCAAAUAGGCAAACUACACGCGUAGACGUUUGAGUAUUGGAGUUUCUGGACGCGGGUUCGACUCCCGCCGUCUCCAUAU